GGCUAGGAGAGAACUACGUCUCCCAGGAUGCCGUGCGACGGGCGUGUGGGGCGGGGCCGCCGCGAGCACAGGGCUGUAAUUUCUUGGUAUUUAAAAAAAAAAAAAAAAAAAAAAGGUAGCAAAAGAAAAGAGAGAAAGAAUCAAAGCCUCAAGCGUCAUGUCUAGGAAUAGCCUCGGAGCCAGGCCAAGUCAUUAUAGACGAUGAGUAAUCCGGUUAAGUCAUUUCUCUAAACACCAUUCCUUGUAAGAGAAUUAAAAUAUCAGUUUACAUCAGAGGGGGAGAGGCAGGCUCCAGAGGCCCGGCCGGGAGCGCAGCCAGGAGGGGGCGCGGCUGGCGCGCCGCUGCCGCUCGCUCGGCCCAGCCUCGGGGCGGGGGCGGGAUGCCAGGGCCCUGACAGCUGGACCCUGGGCUCGGGCAGGCGGCCAGCUAGCGGGGGGUGGGGGGGGAGCGGCCCGCCAGGCCUCAGUUUACCAGAUGGUAAGGGCUUCAGGGAAAGUUUGGGGCUGCUCCCUGUCGGAAGAAUCGGUGUCCCUCGUGGGGGCAGCCCAGCAAGAGUUCCUGUCUCGGCAGCUGCAGGCCUACUGUCGGGGCGAAGGGCUGAGGACUGGCCUGAGGACACGGAGAGAGUAAAAGCGAGUGUUACCCGAACUUGCCUCUGACUGGGCAAAUUUGGUGUGCUACUGGGUCUAUGGAAGAAAGUAACCAGGAUGCCAGGAGGAAUUAUGAGCAAGGUAAGUGAUUCAUCUCCAACCUGAGCGAGGUCCAUCAACCCCUUCAAUUCAUCAAGCAUGGGCUUUGGGGUGGGGGAGGCUGCCUUAUUUCCUGCUCCCCAAAUGAAUGCAUGGGACCUUGCUAACAUCAAAACUAAAGCUUCUAGGCUUGGAGUUGUCUGGGACCCAUUGGCUCCAAGAACCUAAUAUCCCUUAGAAGCCUCCCACUCUCUGGCACAUCUCCCCACACCCCAUCUCACACCUGAAGGCCAGGCCUCUGUGGUCAUCAUCUUGGUAUUACCCAGCCUGCGACUGCCCU
rnacentral:lncRNA from 12 species